GACGAACGCUGGCGGCGUGCUUAACACAUGCAAGUCGAACGGAAAGGCCUUGCUUUUGUGGGGUACUCGAGUGGCGAACGGGUGAGUAACACGUGAGUAACCUGCCCUUGACUUUGGGAUAACUUCAGGAAACUGGGGCUAAUACCGGAUACGAGCUCCUGCUGCAUGGUGGGGGUUGGAAAGUUUCGGCGGUUGGGGAUGGACUCGCGGCUUAUCAGCUUGUUGGUGGGGUAGUGGCUUACCAAGGCUUUGACGGGUAGCCGGCCUGGGAGGGUGACCGGCCACAUUGGGACUGGGAUACGGGCCAGACUCCUACGGGAGGCAGCAGUGGGGAAUAGUGCACAAUGGGCGGAAGCCUUAUGCAGCAACGCCGCGUGCUGGAUGACGGCCUUCGGGUUGUAAACCGCUUUCGCCUGUGACGAAGCGUGAGUGACGGUAAUGGGUAAAGAAGCACCGGCUAACUACGUG
rnacentral:rRNA from 1 species